UACGUAGGGUGCGAGCGUUGUCCGGAAUUAUUGGGCGUAAAGAGCUUGUAGGCGGUUUGGUAAGUCGGGUGUGAAAUCUCCACGCUCAACGUGGAGGGGCCACUCGAUACUGCCAUGACUCGAGUCCGGUAGAGGAGUGUGGAAUUCCCGGUGUAGCGGCGAAAUGCGCAGAUAUCGGGAGGAACACCGAUGGCGAAGGCAGCUUCCUGGCCCACAACUGACGCUGAGGUGCGAAAGCGUGGGGAGCGAACGGG
rnacentral:rRNA from 1 species